CCUACGGGUGGCAGCAGUGAGGAAUAUUGGUCAAUGGACGAGAGUCUGAACCAGUCAAGUAGCGUGAAGGAUGACUGCCCUAUGGGUUGUAAACUUCUUUUAUAUGGGAAUAAAAUGUUCCACGUGUGGGAUUUUGUAUGUACCAUAUGAAUAAGGAUCGGCUAACUCCGUGCCAGCAGCCGCGGUAAUACGGAGGAGCCGAGCGUUAUCCGGAUUUAUUGGGUUUAAAGGGAGCGUAGGUGGAUUGUUAAGUCAGUUGUGAAAGUUUGCGGCUCAACCGUAAAAUUGCAGUUGAAACUGGCAGUCUUGAGUACAGUAGAGGUGGGCGGAAUUCGUGGUGUAGCGGUGAAAUGCUUAGAUAUCACGAAGAACUCCGAUUGCGAAGGCAGUUCACUGGACUGCAACUGACACUGAGGCUCGAAAGUGUGGGUAUCAAACAGGAUUAGAUACCCUGGUAGUC
rnacentral:rRNA from 1 species